rnacentral:rRNA from 1 species
GACGAACGCUGGCGGCGUGCCUAAUACAUGCAAGUGGAACGCAUUGAUAUCACCGGAGCUUGCUCCACCGAUAUAAAUGAGUCGCGAACGGGUGAGUAACGCGUAGGUAACCUGCCUGAUAGCGGGGGAUAACUAUUGGAAACGAUAGCUAAUACCGCAUGAGAGUGUUUAACACAUGUUAGAGACUUAAAAGAUACCAUUGUAUCACUAUCAGAUGGACCUGCGUUGUAUUAGCUAGUUGGUAGGGUAGCGGCCUACCAAGGCAACGAUACAUAGCCGACCUGAGAGGGUGAUCGGCCACACUGGGACUGAGACACGGCCCAGACUCCUACGGGAGGCAGCAGUAGGGAAUCUUCGGCAAUGGACGAAAGUCUGACCGAGCAACGCCGCGUGAGUGAAGAAGGUUUUCGGAUCGUAAAGCUCUGUCGUAGCGGAAGAACGCGUGUAAGAGGGAAAGUUUACA